GGGGCUGUAGCUCCCUGGAAGAACCUCUGCUCUGCAUGCAGAAGGACCCUGGUUCAAUCCCCAGCAUCUCCA
rnacentral:tRNA from 1 species